rnacentral:rRNA from 1 species
AAGUCGAGCGGAAAGGCCUCUUUGGGGGUACUCGAGCGGCGAACGGGUGAGUAACACGUGAGUAACCUGCCCUUCACUUUGGGAUAACCCUCGGAAACGGGGGCUAAUACCGGAUAUGACAUGGUUCCGCAUGGGGUUGUGUGGAAAGUUUUUUCGGUGGGGGAUGGGCUCGCGGCCUAUCAGCUUGUUGGUGGGGUGAUGGCCUACCAAGGCGACGACGGGUAGCCGGCCUGAGAGGGCGACCGGCCACACUGGGACUGAGACACGGCCCAGACUCCUACGGGAGGCAGCAGUGGGGAAUAUUGCACAAUGGGCGGAAGCCUGAUGCAGCGACGCCGCGUGGGGGAUGACGGCCUUCGGGUUGUAAACCUCUUUCAGCACCGACGAAGCGGGAGUGACGGUAGGUGCAGAAGAAGCGCCGGCCAACUACGUGCCAGCAGCCGCGGUAAGACGUAGGGCGCGAGCGUUGUCCGGAUUUAUUGGGCGUAAAGAGCUCGUAGGCGGCUUGUCGCGUCGACUGUGAAAACCCGCGGCUUAACUGUGGGCUUGCAGCCGAUACGGGCAGGCUAGAGUUCGGUAGGGGAGACUGGAAUUCCUGGUGUAGCGGUGAAAUGCGCAGAUAUCAGGAGGAACACCGGUGGCGAAGGCGGGUCUCUGGGCCGAUACUGACGCUGAGGAGCGAAAGCGUGGGGAGCGAACAGGAUUAGAUACCCUGGUAGUCCACGCUGUAAACGUUGGGCGCUAGGUGUGGGGGGCCUCUCCGGUUCUCUGUGCCGCAGCUAACGCAUUAAG